CCAGCUGAACCACAGAGGCAGAGCAGCUUCAGAGAUUUCUACUAAUCCAUCAAAGCCUGGUCUUCAGUGAAGCAAAGGAUCCACAUUUUCUUUCUCAUAUUCUUCACUCCACCCUCUGACAUUUCUGGCAGCAAAGCGUUGUUCAUGUGCCAGUCUGAAUGAAGUGACCUGAUUAUUCCUGUGGGAAGAUCCUUCUGUCACUAGAGGAGCAAAUUGUAGAGAAAUUAAGGAAGAUGAUUGCUGCAGAUGGAAACACAAACCCCACUAUGUUGUAUACCAACCUUUCAGCUGAUACCCAGGAUGGGGCAUUUGAGAGUGCCCGCGACGUAACAGAUUGUGUCGAUGAAUGUGCUGAUUUGGAAUGGAAGCCAGCAAACAAUGAACAGCAAGAGCACAGCAAGGACCAGUGUGGUGGCUUUCCUCUCUGUAUGGACUAACCG